rnacentral:rRNA from 1 species
UACAGAGGUCUCGAGCGUUGUUCGGAUUCAUUGGGCGUAAAGGGCGCGUAGGCGGCGGGGUAAGUCUGGUGUGAAAUCUCGGAGCUCAACUCCGAAAUUGCACUGGAUACUGCUCUGCUAGAGGGCUGGAGAGGAGAUCGGAAUUCACGGUGUAGCAGUGAAAUGCGUAGAUAUCGUGAGGAAGACCAGUGGCGAAGGCGGAUCUCUGGACAGCUCCUGACGCUGAGGCGCGAAAGCGUGGGUAGCAAACAGG